GCGUGCUUAACACAUGCAAGUCGAACGCUGAAGCUCAGCUUUUGUUGGGUGGAUGAGCGGCGAACGGGUGAGUAACACGUGAGUAACCUGCCCUCUUCUUUGGGAUAACGCCCGGAAACGGGUGCUAAUACUGGAUAUUCACUGAUCUUCGCAUGGGGGUUGGUGGAAAGGUUUGUUCUGGUGGGGGAUGGGCUCGCGGCCUAUCAGCUUGUUGGUGGGGUGAUGGCCUACCAAGGCUUUGACGGGUAGCCGGCCUGAGAGGGUGACCGGUCACAUUGGGACUGAGAUACGGCCCAGACUCCUACGGGAGGCAGCAGUGGGGAAUAUUGCACAAUGGGCGCAAGCCUGAUGCAGCGACGCCGCGUGAGGGAUGGAGGCCUUCGGGUUGUAAACCUCUUUCGCUCAUGGUCAAGCCGCAACUGUGGGUUGUGGUGAGGGUAGUGGGUAAAGAAGCGCCGGCUAACUACGUGCCAGCAGCCGCGGUAAUACGUAGGGCGCGAGCGUUGUCCGGAAUUAUUGGGCGUAAAGGGCUUGUAGGCGGUUAGUCGCGUCUGCCGUGAAAUUCUCUGGCUUAACUGGGGGCGUGCGGUGGGUACGGGCUGACUUGAGUGCGGUAGGGGAGACUGGAACUCCUGGUGUAGCGGUGGAAUGCGCAGAUAUCAGGAAGAACACCGGUGGCGAAGGCGGGUCUCUGGGCCGUUACUGACGCUGAGGAGCGAAAGCGUGGGGAGCGAACAGGAUUAGAUACCCUGGUAGUCCACGCUGUAAACGUUGGGCACUAGGUGUGGGGGCCACCCGUGGUUUCUGCGCCGUAGCUAACGCUUUAAGUGCCCCGCCUGGGGAGUACGGCCGCAAGGCUAAAACUCAAAGGAAUUGACGGGGGCCCGCACAAGCGGCGGAGCAUGCGGAUUAAUUCGAUGCAACGCGAAGAACCUUACCAAGGCUUGACAUGCACGGCGGCACUGCAGAGAUGUGGUGGCAUUUGGUUGGUCGUGUGCAGGUGGUGCAUGGUUGUCGU
rnacentral:rRNA from 1 species